AAGAGGCCUUCUAGGAGUUCCGUCAACGUGAUGGAGAGGAACAGAAUCUUCAAUCCUGAUCCCCAGUUGCCAGGCAAAGUUCUGCCUGAGGCAGCAGUGGCUUGUCCAUUUGUUCAUUCAUUCAUUCAUUUUGUAGCUAGAGAUCCCUGUUCCUCAACCUUCUCUCUCCCUCUUGGGGAAGAGGCUCGGUGGGGCUCCCAGGUGGCCAUCCUGUACCCAGCUUGCUUCUGUUGAGAACACUUGUCCUCAGAGCCCCAGAGGACCUGCCCUCCCUCAGCUCCAGGGCCUUGGGUUCAAGCCACGCCAGGGCUGAGCCGACCCCAGCUCAGUUUACAAUGUGGUAACCGACACCACCUGGGAAGGGCAGAGCCUUAGGGAGCCAACCAGAAAGGAGUAAAGCAGGGAGACGAGGAAGGACACUAAUACUUUGAGCACAGAGUGAGCCCAGAGACCAGCAGGCAUGUGGUCACACCUGAGUUCAUGCUCUGGCCACCAGCAGUCAAGCUCUGUUCUGUCCUCACAGGCUGUUGACAAUUGGAAAAGUUCAUGUAAAAAUCCAGACUUCUGAUUUUUCUUGACAAAUGAAAAGAUCUGGCAACCCUGAGCUGCGUUCUGUGUGGCAGCCAUGGAUCACAUCCGAGAUACUACGUUAUCUAGUUGUCAUGCUUCUUUAGGCUCCUCUUGACUGUGAUAGUUUCUCAAAAUUUUCUUGUUUUUGAUGACUUUAGUAGUGUGGGGGAGUACUGGCCAGGUAUUUUGUAGACUGACCUUCAGCUGGGAUUUGUCUGAUGUUUUUCUCAUGAUCUGACUUGGAGUAUGGAUUUUUGGGGGAGGAAGACCACAGAGGUGAAGCACUGUUCUCAUCACAUCAUAUCAAGACUGAAAUGUCCUUCUGUAGGUCUACUGACAAGGAUGCAUCAUCCCAGAUAUUCCCUGAGUAACAAACUCUUAUUCUACCAAAUCUAUGCCUAAAUGGUUGAGCAGGUGGUGUAAAAGGUAGAGCUUGUCUCUGCUGGGAGAGAGGAGUGCGUUCUCCACAUUCUUCCUCACCAUGGACAAAGUUCUCAGAAGCCACUUUGGCUGUAAUGAGAGAUAGAAGUAUCCCUUAAUGGUGUGUUCCCAUAUCACCACACACCACACCGCCUGAGGCAACACCGCUAUAAAUAGCACUUGGUCUCCUUACUAGUCCACCACAGCCGAGUUAACCCAGACAUGAUGGAGACUUGGUGGGAAGAGGAAAAAGCAGAAAAACAAAUAAAGUGAGAAGAGGAGAGGAAAAAGGACAAUGGAGAAAGGGCAGUGAUGAUAUUAAUAACGUAUAUAAUUAAUGAUUUUAAUAAUUACUUACAUUUGUAAAAAACUUGAACAUGCAUGGUUUCAUUUAUUUCAUUAAGUAUAAUGACUCAUAAAAGUAUAUAUUUAGUUUUAACCUAUAUCUUAGGUUAUUGGCUUUUGUGUGUUCUAGAUUUAGGGAUAGGUACAUGAUCCAAGCUGCGCCAAUGAGAGUUGGCUCUGGGACUAUUGCUAGAACUGUUGGAAAAGAAGCGUGUUCUCUUUCCAUUGGGAUUAUACAGUAAGUGUGAAUGGAUGGUCAAUAUAUCUAGUUAUUUGUUUGCUUAUUUAUUUGUUUAUAUGCAUAGAAGAAGAUCUGAAGACAGUAUCCCAAAAUGUUAACAUCAAUUAAUUUUUGGUGAUAGGGUAAUUGGUGAUAUUUAUGGUUUUUACACAUGUAUGUAUUAUUUAUAUUUUCU